rnacentral:rRNA from 1 species
AUUAAACGCUGGCGGCAGGCUUAACACAUGCAAGUCGAGCGGGGUGAUGGUGCUUGCACUAUCACUUAGCGGCGGACGGGUGAGUAAUGCUUAGGAAUCUGCCUAUUAGUGGGGGACAACAUCUCGAAAGGGAUGCUAAUACCGCAUACGUCCUACGGGAGAAAGCAGGGGAUCACUUGUGACCUUGCGCUAAUAGAUGAGCCUAAGUCGGAUUAGCUAGUUGGUGGGGUAAAGGCCUACCAAGGCGACGAUCUGUAGCGGGUCUGAGAGGAUGAGCCGCCACACUGGGACUGAGACACGGCCCAGACUCCUACGGGAGGCAGCAGUGGGGAAUAUUGGACAAUGGGGGGAACCCUGAUCCAGCCAUGCCGCGUGUGUGAAGAAGGCCUUAUGGUUGUAAAGCACUUUAAGCGAGGAGGAGGCUCUUUUGGUUAAUACCCAAGAUGAGUGGACGUUACUCGCAGAAUAAGCACCGGCUAACUCUGUGCCAGCCGCCGCGGUAA